CUGUCCCAGAACUCACUAUGCAGAUAAGGCUGACCUUAAUCUCACCGAGAUCCACCUGCAUCUGCCUCUGCAUCUCAAAGUUCUUUAUUCAAGCAAACAGUAAUGUGAGGGCUGGGAAAGUAGCUCUGUGGUAAAUUUCUUCUCUACCAUGUACCCCAACACAGCAAAAAAGAAAAUAAAAGAAGAAAGAAAAGGAAACAAUGGUUUGGGACAGACAGCAUCCAGCUGACGGCAGGAAGAAGGGCAGAAGAAGCUUUUGUAACUGAGCUGACCUUCGGGUGAGAAACAUCCCUUCACCUCUGCUCCUCCGAGUUUCUACUAUCAAACACUAAUUAGCAGUGCUUCAGAGACUACCCAAGAUGGAGGGAGACACGGGAGAGAAGACAUUCUGGUGGUGACAUUGUUAAGAAGACAUGGUGAUAUUUCUGAAGACUUGCAAUACUGGAGAACGCAGGAGGAAACAGCAGAAGGAAAGGGAAGGGGGAAAACAAAGGAGCUAGGAAGGCCUCACACACAAAUGGAGCAGCCUGAAGAGACAGGUCUGUAGAACCCGAAGAAGCUGCCAGUCUGAGAGGGUUCCUCUGAGAUCUGGAAGGAACAUACUCUAAUCUUCCAAGCAGAAAUCACCCCAAACCAGACAAUAAAGUCUUUGCGAUGCAUCAGAAUGAUAACCAAGUCCCAGAACUCAAAAAGAGAAAGGAAGAGAAAAAAAAUCUCAGCUUAGGGCCACCAGCCUCCCUCACACUGAGGGAGCAACAUUUCCUGGACACAUUCAGGGGACCUGGAGCCACUGAGAGUAGUGCGAAGAUCUCAGUCGAGAUGUUUUAGAUUUUGCCUAGCCUUUCCUUUAAGGAGGUCAAAAACCCUUCAGGUCCACUCCAAAGGAGAAAAAAAUUCCAAAAGUUUACUUCAAAAUGGAAACAAACAUCUCAGGAACUUGUGAAAGCGCCCGUUGGGUAGGAGAAAAAUCUGAGGAACCCUUAAAAGCCCUCAUCCCCUUGCUUAAUGAAUAGAAGAGUGAGGAACCACCACAAGUUCUCCCUCUGGAGAGGGAGAAGGAGUAGGCAGGCAUGCCUCUUCCUCCAGCCAUCACCAAGAGAGCUUCAAAAUGGAGACAUCCAUAAUUUUAUAAACACUUCUCAACCCAGCUUUGUCUCCUGGAAGCCCGCUCUCCUCCAUUUUCUGGUGGAGUUACAGCAUGACAAGGCUUAAGGCUUACCUGACUCAGUUCCCAGCUCUCAACCCAACUAGUCACUGCCUCCCCAAACCUGCAAGCAACCUCCAGAAACAAAACCAAACCAAGCCAAACAGCCAACACAGACACUCAGACACAACCCCCGGGAGCCCUGGAGA